UCCAGUGGUUUUAUAACUUUCAGCGUUAAAGAAGUGAAGCAAUUUGUAGUUUGAAUUUAUCUUCUAUCAUGAACCUGUUGGAGAGAGUCGCGGGAGACAAGCCUCAUGCUAUCAUGAUCAACAAGUCUCAGUUUAUUGGAGUCGAUCACAGUUUCUUUAUACAAGCACUAAUUAGCUCAUACAUAUUGCAAAAGCGAAGCUCAGGAUUGGUUACCUUUCUAUUAACACAUAUAUCUUUUUGCGAUAAGCCCUUGCGGUUACUGCUUUCUUAUACUUGAUUAUCUUUCUGCAUACCAAGCAAUUUCACAUCCUGGCUGUUACGAGACAUCUGUUGCUCAAGGUUGUUACGAGACAUCUGUUGCUCAAGGACAUAGUUUUCAUGCUACAAGUCACGUACUCUCACACUCUUACCAACUUAACACUGCCAUUCUUCAGAUAAACUCUCUACACUUCCCCUGUUUUCUUAUAAGCAAGCAAGGAUGUGUUCCAUUUUUGUUCUAUAAUUGACAUUAAAGUUCUUUGCAAGCACUGAAAUACACACGGCAAUACGAGCAUUAAAAUUACUAUAACUAACAAUCCUAUCAUCAUUAAGCUGCAAAAGGUGUUUAAGCCAACCCGUGAUUCAACAUGAUUCAAAUUAUAAUCCAAAAAAUGUAUCAUCCCUGUGUAACACCUGAACAUGUUGUAGCAAAUGCUGAAUUUUCCUAUAAAUAGAUUCGGAACUAUUUUUCAAAUUCAUACAGCACAUUCCUUCGAAAUCUUCACACCCAUGCCCGUGCCUCUUGUUUUGAUUACUACAAAUUGGACAGGCUUUGGCUAUAGCUCUAGCUUCUUCUAAGGGAAUCUGAAAUUCUUUCGACAUGCCUUUAGCAUUCUGAUGGAAAAUAGCAUGGCUUUCCCCGUGCUAUGACUGCCUAGGAAGUACUGUUUGAUGAGAAAGCGAGACUCAGCUUAUCAGCCUUGGUGUUUCCUUCUCCUAACCCUUUGUCCCAUUUAUGACUACGAACAUGGAUGACCAAAUAUGGUUCAGUUUUUAUUUCUGAGGGCACGUUUUAGUUGAAGAAAACAGUUCAUAAAGUCGCUGAUCUCUGUACUUCUCUGAUAGUAGCAUCCUCAAUCCUUGAUACUACCCCCCACAACAUAAAGCGAGUCUGAUACAACAUUCAACAGUUCAUGCAAGUUAGUUACAGCCCAAAUGACUGCCAACAACUCGAAAGUCUGCAAAUUGUCCUCUGAUUUUGCUCUAAUAUUUGUUGAUGCCAUUGUUGUCCCCUUUUCCAGACUACUGCCGCCUUCCUGGAGCGUUUUCCAGCGUCUGUGAAAGCCGUAGUGGCAUCUGGAAUGGGCCUGUCUUCUCUGAGGGGUUUCUGUAGCCAGCUCCAUUCUCCUAGCCAUCGCAAAGAUUUCGGUAUAAGGGGACCGGUAUUGAUUUGUGCUGCAGACGACAAUAAUGCUUCAGCUAGGGCUGUGGAGUUUAAAAGGUACCAAUCUAACGUGGCCUUUUCUAUGGGCAGAUUAAUGUCCGUUGGUUCCAGGCCACUGAUUUCCAAAAUGCGGAUGCAUCCUUUUUUGAUCAGCAAUGCCAAAUUUUCAAUUUUUGAAGUUAUAGUUUUUCUUUGUUGCAAUGGAGUGGCAGCCAUUCCAGUACUGCUGUCUCCCCUGUUUUCUUUAACUGCUGAGUAACAGCUCCUAGUAGGUGGUCUUCAGUAUUCCAAAUUGUAAGAUGCAGGGGGAGAUCAGGUCAAUCCUUGUGACAAAUCCUGUAGAGAUAGCAAUGCAUAAUUUUCUGAAGUGCAUCUUGCUGAGCUUGGAGAUGAACAGGGCACAAUUGCCUUUCAGUAGCAGACGCAAUUCAUUAAAUAAUUAGGAUACCGGUCUGGCUUCAGCCUGUAGGUCAUAAAUUUUGGCCUCAUGCAAUGUUAUGAUAUUUGUGGACAUUUUUGAGGCACAAUUUUCUGUUCUGUGAUUGUCCACCCUAGAUACUUCCAAGGGGUUGACAUCUAAAUUUUAUCUGGAGCUACUACUAAAGAAAAGUCUUGCUAGGAUCCUUGUAGCAUCUUCAGUUUGUGAGGCUAUAAAGGGUUCUCUUUGAGCGAGCAGGAUUGUCAUCCAUAUAGUGAUAAACAAUGGUAGCAGGCAUUUUUUGUCGUAGUGGUUGUAGUGUAGCAUCGACAUACAGUUGACAAAGUGUAGGGGAAUUGUGCAUCCCCUGCGGUAGAACAGUCCCAGUCAAAUCUUUUGUCAGAUUCUCCAUGGUUAAGGGCAGGAAGCGUAAAUGCAAACCGUUUGGUAUCAUUAGGAUGCAAUGCAAUGGUAAAAAGCAGUCUUUUAGGUCUAUUAUAAGGAUGGGCCAGUCUUUUGGUAUCAUAGCUGGGUUAGGCAGUCCAGGUUGAAGUGCUCCCAUGGGUUCCAUUUGAUUAUUUACUGCUCUCAAGUCGUGCAGCAGCCUAUACUUUCCGGAUUUCUUCUUGAUCACAAAUAUUGGAGUAUUCCAGGGACUGGUGGAGGGCUUAACAUAUCCUUGUUGAUAUUGUUCCAUGACCAAAACGUGUGCCUGUUCCCAAACUUUCCUGUUUAGAGUCCUAUUGCUUACCACUACAGGUUCAUUGGUGAUCCAAGUAAGUGGCAAUGGGAAAGUCCAAGCAAUGACCAUUACUGUAAGGGGUGGUCAUUAGUGAGGACAAGACCCAGUUGAGCAAGAAUAUCGCAGCCAAUUAGGCAGUGAACAGUAGGUGGCAGUGCUGUUAUAGAAAAUGCUGUCGAUGCUUGUUUUCCUUCAAUCUCGACUGUCAGUACAGGGGUACGAUUAGCCAGCGUCAUUCCUCCGAUGCAGUGACAGUGGUUGCUGAGGGCUGUAUUGGCCAGGUGAAAGGCCAGUGUGCAAGAUCAACUAUACUCGCGUCAGCACCUGUAUCGAGGAGUCCCUUAAGUGUGAUACUGCGUCCUUGAUAAGUCAGACGACAGGACUUCUUAGGUCGAGUAUUGAGGUCUAUGGUGAGCAAGGUUAGGCCCCCCGUAGAUCCGAAGCUUCCUUUGUUCCUGGGCUCUUGUGUAAGGGACAUUAGUCCCUUGGUCAUUUGAGGCAACGGAAUCAAUUGGGCUAGUCUCUGUCCUUUGGGUACUUUCACGGGGGGAUACGGAGUAUGAACCAUAAUCAUAAGUUCACUUCUACAAUCAGAGUCAAUGACCCCCGGCUCAACAUACAGACCCAGAGUAGUAGCAGAGGAGCGACCAAUUAUCAAGCCCCCUAUUGGCUGGCCAUUUAUAAAAAUAGGGCCAAAACGUCCAGUGGGAACCUUAUGCAAAUGAGUGGAAAGGAUGUCAACAUCUACUAAGGCUGCCAGGUCCAAGCCGAGGCUCCCGGUUGUUGCUGGUUGGAGUUGUCGGGGGGUGCUGACAGUGCAGCUGCCAUUUGUGUCCCUGCGCGGCCGCUGCUCGCGCUGUUCUUCGAGUUUCCCUGCUUCCUUCAACAAGCAGUGGAGUUUGUGAGUGUUGGAUUGGCAUUUUCCGCACCAUACUCCCGUUGCUCCACAUUCUCAACGGAUGUGACCUACAUUUCCACAUCGGUAACACUUCAUUCAAUUGCUGCCAGCGUUGGUUGAGCGGGGGCGUGCGGCUGCCGCUUUGAGGGGAGCAAGAGCUGCCAUGACCUGAUUCUGAGAGCUAAUAGCUUGCUCACGCAGGGCUGUCGCUUGUUCCUGUAAUCCCUCUUCUAUUCUCUGCAGGGCAUUUACUAAAAACACCUGGGGGCCAAUCGGCAUAGAGGCAGCCUUUUCUAAUAGGUCCUGCACCCUCCAAUCCCCUGGGGUUGAAUUAAUCAAGGCUCUAGUGGUGGAAUUGCCGUUUUGUAGGAUGCAUUGUCUUAGCAAGGCAUCUUGCAUAUGAUCUGCUGCUCCCGCUUUAGACAAUGCUUCCAUGAUCUUAUCUACAAAGGCACCAAGGGGCUCUUCUCUACCCUGUUUGAUUCCCAUAUAUAUAGGUAUCCCUCCCUUUUAAAUUUAUCUAUCGCUCUCUUGGCCACUGUCAUAGCUUCCCUGAGUUUGUCGUGUCCUAAAGCUGCUUGGUCUCAACUCUCAGAAAUGCACCUUGCCCUAUUAGUUCAUCAACCAUGAUCCCUGUCAAGGCAUCCCCCUGGGCCCUUGGGAGAUUUGCACUCAAUGCAGCCUCCUCUCUCCAGCGCGCCUCAAACAAUAGUCGUUGAUGCGGGGUAUAAAUUCAAUUUGGCAAUGCCUCUGAUAUCUGCAGGCAACAGCACUUGGGCAUUAAACAUGUAACCGAGCAUCUGUUUAACCGGUUCACUAGAAACUCCAUAAUUCCCCACUGUGGCACGCAACUGGGCCAGCAUUUUCCAAUCUAAUUUUGCACCUGUGCCUGUUGCCCACCCCUUUGCGGGUUAGGCGUAUAAAUGACCAGAAACGCUAAGGUCUCCUGAGCUGCUGCAACGAGAUCAGCAUCCCCCUUUUCCAUCCCCUCGUGGGCAAGCGUGUUCCAGAUUUCACGUCUCUCCCUGGCCCAUGGCCUCCGCGAGGUCAGCUUCUGCCCCAGGGACAGGCUCCUGGCUACUGAGAGAAGCUGUUGCCCGAGGUGGGUGAGGGGGUUGUGGUGACCAUUCCGGGGAUCGCAAUACUCAGCGGCUCAGCGGGGGGGGCGGAUGGCACGGAUGAAGGCACAUCAACUGUUGUGAAAAAGGGGGGGUUUGGAGCACUAGGAUCUACCGGUAAACCGUAAUCGCGAUUACGCUCUUGCGCUGUCUUCACUCCCUCAGCUGCCCUUUUUUCCACUUGGCACAUUAACAACUCAUUGUGAACUGCUUUCCAUAACUUACUCAUCUUCUUAGUGAGUUUUAUCAUCGUCUAACGUCAACUCCCACAACUUAUCUCCAUAUUUUUGCCAUUCCCCUAAUUCAUGUACGGUAUGCGGGUCUGAGAAAAAGGCAUACGAAACUGCAUGCUGCAAUAAUGCAGGGAGAUCCUUAUCUAAAUCAAGCCCUUUAAAUUGCCUCCGUCUGAGAAACGAGGUGAAAAGGUCAUAUGCUGCUUGCCUAUCCACACUCACAUCAGCGCUGUUGCAGCCCCUCUAGGCUUCGGCAGCACGUAUCGGCUGAGCCCACCGCUGUGGUCACUCAGGGCGCGGCACCAGGUAGAGGAGCUUAAUCGCCGUCUGUCUAGCUGCGGGACCAGAACCCAACGCCAACGUCUCACAGAUCCGGGCGCCAGAUGUUGGAGAGAGUCGCGG
rnacentral:lncRNA from 1 species